AGAGCUGCAUAAGAAAGGAACACAGAAGGGACGUGAAUCGAGCUAUCUGCAGCAGCCUCCUCAGUUCGCUAGCUGAAAGAAGUGCACAAGACUUUAAGAAUAUGCGCCUAGGACCUCCGAAGUGGCAGGCGGCCACGAGUUUUCACGGCGUUGAAUAAACCAAGGCAAAGCGCCCGUCUUGAAGAAGCCGUGCCUGUAUUGUCAUUUCGGAGUUACAGUGAAAACUCGCCCAGCCAGCGCCGACGAGAAGCACAUUAAAAAGACGGCAGCUGCAGUGAGUGACGGCAUCGUGGUGCGCCACAAGAGAGCGCUAUUUCCCACAUUCAUCCCUCGCGAGCAGCCAAGCACAGCA